CCUACGGGUGGCAGCAGUGAGGAAUAUUGGUCAAUGGACGAGAGUCUGAACCAGCCAAGUCGCGUGAAGGAUGACUGCCCUAUGGGUUGUAAACUUCUUUUAUACGGGAAUAAACUCUUCCACGUGUGUCUUUUUGUAUGUACCCUAUGAAUAAGGAUCGGCUAACUCCGUGCCAGCAGCCGCGGUAAUACGGAGGAUCCGAGCGUUAUCCGGAUUUAUUGGGUUUAAAGGGUGCGUAGGUGGUUUGUUAAGUCAGUUGUGAAAGUUCGCGGCUCAACCGUAAAAUUGCAGUUGAAACUGGAAGGCUAGAGUGCAGUAGAGGUAGGCGGAAUUUGUGGUGUAGCGGUGAAAUGCUUAGAUAUCACGAAGAACUCCGAUUGCGAAGGCAGCUCACCGGACUGCAACUGACACUGAGGCACGAAAGUGUGGGUAUCAAACAGGAUUAGAUACCCCAGUAGUC
rnacentral:rRNA from 1 species